rnacentral:rRNA from 1 species
CGUGAGGAACCUGCCUUUCAGAGGGGGGACAACAGUUGGAAACGACUGCUAAUACCGCAUAACAUAUGUUUGUCGCAUGGCAGAUAUAUCAAAGAUUUAUCGCUGAGAGAUGGCCUCGCGUCUGAUUAGCUAGUUGGCAGGGUAACGGCCUACCAAGGCGACGAUCAGUAGCCGGACUGAGAGGUUGGCCGGCCACAUUGGGACUGAGAUACGGCCCAGACUCCUACGGAAGGCAGCAG